CCUACGGGAGGCAGCAGUGGGGAAUCUUAGACAAUGGGCGCAAGCCUGAUCUAGCCAUGCCGCGUGAGCGAUGAAGGCCUUAGGGUUGUAAAGCUCUUUCGUGGGGGAAGAUAAUGACGGUACCCCAAGAAGAAGCCCCGGCUAACUCCGUGCCAGCAGCCGCGGUAAUACGGAGGGGGCUAGCGUUAUUCGGAAUUACUGGGCGUAAAGCGCACGUAGGCGGAUUGGAAAGUCAGAGGUGAAAUCCCAGAGCUCAACUUUGGAACUGCCUUUGAAACUCCCAGUCUUGAGGUCGAGAGAGGUGAGUGGAAUUCCGAGUGUAGAGGUGAAAUUCGUAGAUAUUCGGAGGAACACCAGUGGCGAAGGCGGCUCACUGGCUCGAUACUGACGCUGAGGUGCGAAAGCGUGGGAAGCAAACAGGAUUAGAUACCCUGGUAGUCCACGCCGUAAACGAUGAAUGCCAGUCGUCGGGUAGCAUGCUAUUCGGUGACACACCUAACGGAUUAAGCAUUCCGCCUGGGGAGUACGGCCGCAAGGUUAAAACUUAAAGGAAUUGACGGCUGAGACGNGCGAGACGACACGAGGAGAG
rnacentral:rRNA from 1 species